AGCGGCGGACGGGUGAGUAAUAUAUAGGAAUCUACCCUUAGGUGGGGGAUAACGGGGCGAAAGUUCCGCUAAUACCCCAUAUGCGAGUAAUCGUGAAAGGAGCAAUUCGCCUUUGGAUGAGCCUGUAUCCGAUUAGCUAGUUGGUAAGGUAAAAGCUUACCAAGGCUACGAUCGGUAGUUGGUCUGAGAGGAUGAUCAGCCACAAUGGGACUGAGACACGGCCCAUACUCCUACGGGAGGCAGCAGUGGGGAAUUUUACGCAAUGGGCGAAAGCCUGACGUAGCGACACCGCGUGAGCGAAGAAGCCUUUUGGGGUGUAAAGCUCUGUCAGCUGGAAAGAACACAAUGACGGUACCAGCAGAGGAAGCAUCGGCUAACUACGUGCCAGCAGCCGCGGUAAGACGUAGGAUGCAAGCGUUGUCCGGAUUUAUUGGGCGUAAAGAGUUCGUAGGCUGUUUGUUAAGUCUGGUGUUAAAGACUGAGGCCCAACCUCGGAAAUGCAUCGGAUACUGGCAGACUUGAGUACGGUAGAGGCGAGUGGAAUUCCCAGUGUAGCGGUGAAAUGCGUAGAUAUUGGGAAGAACACCGGUGGCGUAGGCGACUCGCUGGGCCGCAACUGACGCUGAGGAACGAAAGCCAGGGGAGCGAAUGGGAUUAGAUACCCCAGUAGUCCUGGCUGUAAACGAUGGAUACUAGG
rnacentral:rRNA from 1 species